GUUGAGUGAAUUGGAACUUUCGGAAUGCAGAUAAUACUGGAGGCUACAGUGUAGUUUAAGGCCUCCAGGAUUUAGGUGUCAUAUUAUUCAGCAAAACUUUAGGGAAGACUUUAAAAGGAAAUUUGAAUCAGUUUGAAAUUGUUCUUAUGCACCAGAUCUGAUUGGAGAAUAAUAAAUUUGGAGUUCAAACAUCUAUACAUAUUCUGUCUAGUAUUCAAAGUAAUUUAGCAAUGUUCACCCACCAGAACAAAUUAAGAAAAUACAGUUUCUUCUGCAGCUGUAAAGACUGAAGCAGAGAAUGUACAUGCCAUCUGAGGCCAGGAAUUUUAUGUGUGUGAGGAACAAAAUGAUGUAUUUAGUGGAAUGGGAGAUGCAGCUAAACAAACAUAGCACUGCUGUUAUAGAUUCAAUAUGGUAGAGAAAAAAAAUUAACGUCCUGAGAAGAGAUGAAGUUUUUGUUUUGACAUGGGGAAGGGAAAAUACUAUUGUCAUGAGAAUAGUUUAAAUUAGUUGUCAACGAUUAAAAAGAAAGGAAAUUUCCAUGCUGACAAAGUAACUAACGCUGACUUGUCCAAGUAUAACAGUAAGCAAUAUUAAGCACAGCUCUGUUCUCAUGAUGGGAAUGAUUGCUACAGCUUACAGUCUAUUGGAAAUAAUAAUUAUGGUCCUAAGUGUCCAAGACUUAACAUGAUCAUGACUAAGUAUGAAUGGUUUGUGAAUAAUUUUACAAGAAAGAUAAGAUUGAAAUACCAAGGAAAGCCAUUCAUCUCUAUUUUAGUAAAAUGCACCUUUUCCAGUGGAAAUGGCUCAUGCUAGUCUUUCAAGAAGUAUUUUCUAAAGCUCAAUAUUGAUGGUGAUCUAUCCAUGGAAAGACGAGAACUCUAAAGAAUAAAUGUGUUCUUAAGAUUUCUGAAUGGUGGAAUAGUUUCCCGACAUCACCAGCAAUCAUGGUUAGAAUCAUGCUACAUUCACAUCAACUCUGUAUGUCUAUUAACAUGUGUUAUCAGUGCUUCCUGUAGGAGCUGGAAAUGACCCCAUAUGGGCACUCUUUGUAAAGGUGAUUAUUUGAGACUUUGUUCAGAAUACCUUCAUCCAUCCAUAAAGCCGCCUUCUCCUCCUUCCCUC
rnacentral:lncRNA from 1 species